UCACAACUGUCUCCUUACACAGGAAAGAGGUCUCUGGGGAAGGCAGAGCUCUGUCUAGAAGAAGAUGAGAGUGCUGGGACUCCUCUUGUGUCUGGUGACAGUCCCCCAAGGUGUCCUGUCCCAGGUGCAGCUGCAGGAGUCGGGACCAGGACUGGUGAAGCCCUCACAGACCCUCUCCCUCACCUGCACUGUGUCUGGAUUCUCCAUCACAACCAGUGGUUACUGCUGGAGCUGGAUCCGCAAGCCUCCAGGGAAAGGGCUGGAGUGGAUUGUGAGCAUAUGUUAUGAUGGGAACACUUACUACAGCCCGUCCCUCAAGAGCCGCACCUCCAUCUCCAGAGACACGUCCAAGAACCAGUUCUCUCUGCAGCUGAGAUCUGUGACCACUGAGGACACAGCUGUGUAUUACUGUGCAGGAGACACAGGAUAUGGAAUGUGUAUCUUGCACAGAGUUCAAAUCUCUGGGAGGAAAAGGAAACACCUUUCAACAAAUCAGAUUAUACUAAGUCCUGGUUAG